CUCACAUGGGUCAAAACUACAUACGGAAUUGGGUUUUUAGUCGUAAGGCGAUGCCAGGUGGGGAUGCCAGCAGAGCACUUUCCUCCGGUUUCCCCAACAUUGUGGGGUAAAAUGAAGCGUUGAAAGUCAUUAAGGACGUGAAGAGGCGCCAGUAAAAGGAGCAUAAAACAUUUCAUCCCAAAAAAAACUCGACUCGAUAAAGAGCCCGCGUAUCUAGCAGUUAAGCGAAGGAAUCUCGGGUGUAACAUAAAUUUAAGUGCAGCAUAAAGCGGAUUUUAUGACUGCCCCAUCACCUUUUCUACCGAGGUGCUUGCACUGUCAAAAUAAAUGGAAUGCAGUUAAGAUUCUCGCAGCCAGUACGAAGACACU
ensembl:ncRNA lncRNA:CR45014 long non-coding RNA:CR45014